GAGAAAGUCGUGUUUUGCUGACCCAUCACAGAAAGCAAUUUAUACUGCUUGCUUUUGAAAACUGUCUGUGGCUUACCAGACUUCACCUCAGCUCUCUAGUCUCACUGCCCUCUGUUCGGCUUCUGUGUCCCAGGUCAUAAAACACAACCAUCAAAAUGGGAGAUGACGAGGUAAGAUGUUGGGUGCUAAUCCCAUUGCAAAGUGUUUGUGGCUGUUUGAUACUUCUGGAAUGAAUGUAAUCUUUUUCAUAACUCAAAGCUUCCAUUCAUUGUGCUGUCCAAAUCAUUUCAAAAUAGUGCUCUCUGCUCUAAUAGAGUAAUGCUGUCAUUAAAAUAUCUGGGAAAUCUAAUACUAUCUGUGUGAACAAGCAAAGCACUUUUCUUUUGUCGUAGUAAAUUACCACAAUAGUGAGCAUGGGAAAUGGUUGUGCUUUCUGCACUUGACCCAUGAGACCAAUUAUAAAGAUCAUCCUUCCAAAGCUGGGCUGCGUGUAGAGCUAUACAAUGUACAGAUUAAGUCAAGUGACUUUGCUGCUGAAGAUGGUGAUGAUAGUGCAAAUGAAGCUGAUGAAUUACGAGGGACAUAGAGUGCAUAAGUGAAAUAUAACGAAUGCUAGAAAUCUGAAGUAAGAAUUGAAAAUACUAGGGAUACUUAGCAGCUCUGGCAGCAUCGGUGGAAGGAGAGCCAUUUCAGUUUGAUGAUCUUUCAUCAGGCUGGCUUUCAUGAACAUUUGAAAUGAAGGACUGGUUCUUGCUGCAUUUAUUUCUUCCUUUCUGUUGAAGAUGGUGACUGAUACUCAGGCACUGUGCAAUGGGAAACCUCAGUUACUUGACAGGCAAAAAGAAUAAAAUUUGGUAGGCUAUGAAAUUAGAAUCCACAACAUGAUGACGGAGAGUCUGUUAAUCUGCAAUUACAUUUUCUGUUUCUUGUCAAGAGACUGCGAUAUGAGGGCAAUAAUUAUCUUACUUGAGCUCAGUGCUUCAGUGUUACAAUUAAAUGCCAAAUUUUAAAGCAGCGUGCAGGAACCCAUGGCAGGGAAUCAUAUCUUUAAAUCUCUAAAGGUGGUAGGCCAAGUUACAUAGGCUGUUUAACAGAAGCAGGCACUAAGUGCAAUAGAAGGGCACAUGUGGUAAUCCUUAUAAAUCACUUGUUAUAUAAUGUGUGCGUAUCUAUUCUCUGAAUAAUUCCUGGAAGAACAGACUGGGCCUCAACCAUAUAACCAACAAUCAUUGCUUUCAAGUCAUGAGGCUAUGCAAAUUCUUCCCAGCCAUCAGAGAAAAAAAUCUGUAACUAGAAUGAAGAUUCUUAAUCUGCCUUAUUUUAAACAAAGUGAGAAUUGCAAGAUAACAGAGGCCCUGUUUUAUUGCUGUCGCCAGUUCUCUGGAGUUUACCUCAGGUUAGAUGCACAACUUCCACGACACUUGGAAGUAUUAAAUAAAGCUUUUGUAUUCAGUUGAUACACAUUUAUUUUUCCUUUGGUCUCAAAAAUAUUGUACCAUUUCUCAAGCAGUUUCCCCUUUGUUUGCUGGUUGCAAAAAGGGUAUCUUCCGGACACUCAACAUGCUGCUAUCAUCACAUUGGUCACAUUACAUUUAAAUUCAGAUUGCUGAUUGCAAAGUGACUAUGAUUCAGUAAAUUGCCAAUUGUUAAGAUCAGUGAUCAGUCUUAGCUAUCCUAUCAGUUCUGAGGAAGGGUCAUCGGGCCCGAAACUUUAACUCUGUAUUUUCCUUCACAGAUGCUGCCAGGCCUGUGUGCUUUUCCAGCAAUUUUGUUUUUAUUCUUAGGUAUUUUAUCAUCAGGCGAUGUUAAGAUAGAAUCAUCCAUUGUUUGGUGAUGACACAAGCUGUAUCACAUCUCAGCAGUUCAUUAUUAGUUAAAAUAUUAUUUAACUGCUUUCUUUAUGUUUCAGUAGGUACAGCACAGCUCAGUAAUCAUUCAGUGCAGAAUUGUCUUAAAAUUUGAUCCUCUUUUUGGUGCUCAUUUAACCUCUUCAUACUUGAAUUUUGAUAGAAGUGAUAUGAAUGGCCUGAACUUAUAGUCUACUCAGGCUCCCAAGACAAUACAUAUAAAUUCUAUCAUUAUGUAAACUGAUUCAACCCUAUUUUGUCUGACAAAUUAUUUUUGUCUCAAUUUUUCAACGCUCUUUACCUGAAGACAACACUUAAUAGUGAGGUUUAGUCGAAAAGUGGAAGCCAAUUUAUAAUUAACGCUUUAAUCCCAGCUUCAGAAUGACAUUCCUCACCUCUGCAGGAGAAACAAUUUGACAGUAAAGCUAUCUUAAAAUGUUGAUUUACAUACGGAAUCUUUGAAGUCAGGUGAUCUAUUCUCAGAAAUUACAAAUGAAAUUCAGACAAGAAGACUGGCUACUCCAGGCUGAUUGAAGUGAAGUCCAAUAGACUUCUAGAUUACUACUGUCGAUCACUACUGCUUACCACUUUGACAAUGUUCCAAACUGGAUCCUGUUCCAAUACAGGGAGUGCCGGGGUAUGUAGGAAGGAAUCAAAAAUACAAUAGGCCCAUGAGCCAAGAAAAUGGUUUAAUGAAAACCAAAGAUAGAGAAGGACAGCACUGAUUACAACAAAUCAAUGGAGAGAUGGGUGAAACACUGCCUUUAGUUGUACUCCAGGUAAAUCACCAUCAUCAGGGAGAUCUUGUAAGCCAUAGACAGUCUGUCCAUCAUGCAACAGCUGUAUGCUAAACCCACAGUGAAUGUACUUAGCGAAGAUUUUGACUCAUUUGUCAUCGAAAAACUGCAUGUAAUGGCACAAUACUGCUUGAACUCAUCAAGCAUGAAUGUGUCCUUGCUUGAGGGAGGAUGUAGUUAUUCCAUGUGUACAUGAAGCUAAGUUUGUGAUCCUGCACAAGAACAUGGGUGAAUGCAGUGAUUAUAACCAUCGAAGCAGCUCCCUGCUAAGCAGUCUGGGAAAAGUAUUUGCCCAUGUUGCCCUUGCCAGACUACAGAUCCUGGUUGAAUGCAUCUAUCCCAAAUUCCUGUGUCAUUUCAGUUCUGUAAAAUCUAUAAUCAAUAUGAUCUUCUCCAUCCAGUGGCUGUGAGAACAAUGCCAUGAACAAAGGAAAGCAUUAUACAUUUCCUUCAUUAACCUUGCCAAGACUUUCACCCAAGGGAGUACUGAUUACAUAGUUCGGCUGCUGGAGAAAAUUGGCUGCCACUUAAGUUUGCUGACUAUAAUAUCUUCUUUUCGAUGAGAAUAUGAGGAGUAAGGUUCACUUAACUCUGAAGGGUCACACUGGAAACCUUUGAGAUUUGCAGUGGGUCAAACAGUGUUGUGUCCUCAUACUACUGCAGUCAUAUGCGUUGUGAUCAUUUACUAACAGCUUGCACUUACAUCGCAAAACAGAUGUAAAACUGUUCGGCUUUGCCCAUCUGAAAUCCGAGGAAAGGGGCUGUCAUGCCCAAAGCAGAGAUUUAUCCUAUGCUGAUCGACAAUUUCAUAUCAAGAAACAGCUUCAGUGGCAAAUGGACAGAGCACUUAAAACCGCUAAAGAAUUUCGCUUGACCAUUAACAUCAGCAAGAUACAUGUCAUAGUCCGGAAUUUUACCAUAACAUCAUUCAUCAGCUGUAUUCACAAUGUGACCCCGGAGGUUGUUGACAGUUUCACAUAUCCAGCCUCCACAAUCCCCAACAAUCUGUCACUCGAUGCUGAAGUCAACACACUCCUCAUGAAAGCUGUAACUGUUCUAUUGAAGUGGAGUCAGAGUAUGGAACAGCAGCAAGCUGACUGAGCACAGUAAACUGCAGGUUUACUGAGCCAGUCUUCUCACCUUACCCCGCUUCGACGUGAAACCUGAACAACUCAUGCCAUGCACAUGAAAACACUGAGCAGCACCCACAUUUGCUUUCUCAGGCAUAACCGUGGCAUAUUUUCGCAGGGGGGGCACCAACCCAGCAGUCCUGGUAUAUGUUUAUUCCAAAGCAUUUGCUCAUCACUGGAUCAACAAUAUCUGUGCCGGCUGGGCCAGUUUCAUUAGUUGGAUAGUAGAUGUAUGUCCAAAGCCAUACUGGAUGGUAAACUGGUCACUGUGUCAAUACCUGCUGGAAGUCCAUACCUCCACUGCAACAAACCCUGCAGGAAAGAUAUGAUAAUAGUGAACAUGGACAAUGACAGAGACAAUGGUCGCUGUGAACCUUGAGGCUUACUAGCCAGAAGGACAUUGAAAGAGGCAAGAAAAAGAUCUCAACUGACUGAACCUACUGCAUUCACUCGUGUUAAAUGUAGCAUAGGCAGCCAAUGGUACUCGUGAAUCACACUGGGUGAUGCUUAACACAGAGCUGACCAGUAAGCCACAUCCCAUAGGCUUGGAUAUGCAAGACUGUCAUUAUUUUUAUUUUUUUUUGACUAUUUUCAAACUGAAUUUAAAUUGCCAUGGAAACAUUUGAACUCAAGUUAAUUACAUUAACAUCUAAAUUGAACUGACUGAAAGUGUAACAGCCUCUUCAAUGGUGGUGAAAGACAAAUUGGUUGGGUUUGAACAACUAAAACUUCACGGAUAAUCAUGAGAAUAUACGGCAGAGCAAUAUUUUUAAACAGUAAAGUAUUAUUCGUUAAAUGGUAACCUUAAUAGUAUAAGAGAUAAUGGGAACUGCAGAUGCUGGAGAUUCCAAGAUAAUAAAAUGUGAGGCUGGAUGAACACAGCAGGCCA